rnacentral:lncRNA from 1 species
AUUGACUGCAUCCCACUGGAGAUCACCAUUGGGCGACCUGAGUAAUCCAGCACCAACACCAUCAGCACUUUCUCUUUAGAGGUUCUGACUCUCCCCAACACAUCCCAACUGCUGGUCUCAUCAUUCAACUGAACUCCACAGACAUCUCUUAAAACACUGUGCCAGCCCCUGUGGGGGAACAGAGAGGAGCUUGUUGGGUUCCUGCCCUCGGCCACAGGAAAGGUGGGCUCCCCUCUGCCCCCCGACAGUGUUCUUGAGCAAAAGGAACUGAAUUAAAG